AUAAGAUUAUGGAAAAAUCCAUCAAAUCCCAUAAUUUACGCACCAAACAUUUUGAUGGCGAUCAGCUUUAUACCAUACAUCUGGUUUGUUUGCGAUAAUUUUCAGUUUCACCAUCAAUUUUUCUUCGACGAAUUAAGCUGUGGAUCGCAGCCUCGCAGGUGUGAGAGAGGUAAAUGUCUAAAAUAUGUCGUCUCCUUUUUAUCCGUUCAACACUUCAGAAAUCAGCGACUCAUUUCAUCUGUGGUAAGCAUUCCCGUCGAAUUUCUCGAACGCCCGAAUUUUCUCUUGAACAGACUUCACCGAUUGUUCUCCCGUUGAAAGUCGUCGUCUUCCACACGAUUUCUGCAAGAAAUCCUGUUCAGGGAUAUAGUCCUCGCUCUUGCAACCAACCGACCUGCUGAUCUCGACUCUGCUAUGGCAGAUCGUAUCGAUGAAGUCCUUGAAUUCCCCUUGCCAGAUGAAGAGGACUGAUCUCGACUCUGCUAUGGCAGAUCGUAUCGAUGAAGUCCUUGAAUUUCCCUUGCCAGGUGAAGAGGAACGUUUCAAACUGCUCGAACUCUAUCUGCGCAAGUACAUAGCAGAAGCAGGGGAGAGAGAAAACCGGGUUUGUUUGCACACUUUUUCAAGAAACAACAGAAGAAAAUCGAGAUCAAGGGUGUGACCGAGGAUCUUAUCAAGAAAGCUGUUGCAAAGACUGAGGGAUUCUCUGGAAGAGAAAUCGCUAAGCUCAUGGCUAGCGUUCAAGCAGCUGUCUAUGGCAGCGAGGACUGCAUGUUGGAUGCCACUCUUUUCCGCGAAGUAGUAGACUAUAAAGUUGUAGAGCAUCAACAAAAGAAGAAACUUGCUAAAGGGCAAGAUGAUGCUAAUGAAGCAAUUGUAUUGCUGAGCCUGAGUUGUAAUUUUGGCUAAAGUGGCUAAUAUGAGUGGCCAAUUUGUUCUAACAAGCCCUUGUUUACGUGGCCAGAAUUUUUUCAUUUUUGGGAAGCAUUCGAUUAUUUUAUUUUGUAGGCUGAAUUGGUUUUGAAAAUUAUAAAACUAAUUGAAUAUAACUGAAUCCCACUGGAGUUGGGUUAGCGUGCUUAUAGAGAUGCUUAUUUGAUUUA